CCGAGGGGGUGGGGCGCCGGAAGUGCGUACGUUCGGGGCCUUGAGACUCGCGAGCGCGUUUUCCGGUCUGGCUGCGCCUUGCGUGUUUCGGGUCGUAGUUUGCUCUGGGAGCCGGCGAGGCUCUGGGGCGGGCCGUUGACCUGUUCUCGCUCUCAGCCCGAGCUCCUGGGACGGUGCCGCGCGCCGGGCGUCAGUGUAGGACAGAUGCACAUAGGCCAAGGACAAAAGCACGUCUACUGGCAACCGCAGCACUGCAGAGAAGUGCGGCUAAAACAGCGCUGGGGGGGCUCUGCCCCUUCUGCUGGCGGCUCCGCGGCGGAGGGCCGGUGGCUGCGGAGACGCAGUCCUUACCCCACGACCGGGAAGCAGAUGCUACACCGCGCGGCAGCGUUGGUGCUGGAUGGGCCCUGGAGCCUGCAGUGUCCCAAGUGGAGUGCUGCCUGCAUGUCACACGUGUAAGGGUCAAACCUCUGUUCUUCUGCUUUGUUCCGGUUAAAAGCAUUCAUCAUGUUAGGUGACUGCUACUCUGGGCCUGGCCCCGUGCCACCUGCAGAAGGAGGCAAAAGGUCAAAUCCAGAAUGUGGAAUUUUCUCUUGCACACAUGAGUCAGUUAUUAGUUAGGGGCUUGAAGGGAAAAUAAAAAGUAGGACGGAUAAUAAAAGCAUAAAAACAUAAUGGAGUGGAAUGCGUAGACUUUAUUUGCAUCACGAUAGAACAAACCAACUGUAAAAAAAAAAAAAAAAAACACGUCUGUGUGGUUCCUGUCAAUACAAACCCCACUAGUAUGCAUGAGAACUCAGGUUCCAUCCCUGGCCCAGCAGAGUGGUUUAAGGAUCCAGCAUUGCCGUGAGCUGUGGUGUUGGUUGAAGAUGUGACUCAGAUCUGCUGUGGCUGUGGCGUAGACCAGCUCUUUCAACCCCUAGCGCCGGAAUGUCUAUAUGUCACAGGUGCAACCCUUAAAAAAAAAAAAAAAAAAGUUGUGAGACGGGGAAAUUUGAACAUAAACGGUGUUGGCUGUUAGCUAGGGUUACCAAUACUUUUGUUAGGGAGAGAUGGCCUAAAUGGUUAGGUUAAAAAAGGCCCCCAUCGUUUAUAUAGAAGUAUUUACUGUAAGUUGUCACAGUGCCUGUCAUUUAUUUGCUUUGUAAUAUGCUGAUUACUCAGGUUAAAAAAAAAGGGUUGGGAAAAUGCCAAAGGCAAAAUGCCAGUAGUAGUUGAAGCUGGAUGAUGAGUCACGUGGAGGUAGUGACUUUUCUUCACUGGCCGUGACUUUGGACAAGUCCUUUACUUGCUCUCAGUGUUGGCUCUCAGCGCUCGUCCACUUGCUUGUCAAGCUGGGAUUCUUCCGUUUCCUGGGAGAUUGGAAAGAGGUGCAAGUGUCAUUUCCUAACACUUCGUGGGGCUCACGGGAAUCUGAUGGGGAUCCUGCCAUAAACAGCUCAGAGUGCGGCAUGAGGAAGGUCAGCCCUUAGAGCUGCUGUGUCCUGAGACAGACCAGCACUGGCCCUCGAAGUGGCAGUGCUUCUGGUACACCUGAACCCCGGUCAGCCAAGAGGUGGCAUCCUGGAUCCACAUCUGAAACGAUGGAUUUUCAGAGUUCCCGGUCGUGGCUCAGUGGAAACGAAUCCGGCUAGGAACCGUGAGGUUGUGGAUUCGAUCCCUGGCCUCGCUCAGGGGGUUAAGGAUCUGGCGUUGCGUGAGCUGUGGUGUAGGUCACAGACUCAGCUUGGAUCUCGUGUUGCUGUGGUUGUGGUGUAGGCCGGCGGCUACAGCUCCUGUUCACCCCCUAGCCUGGGAACCUCCAUAUGCAGUGAAAGUGGCCCUAAAAAGCAAAAUAAAUAAAUAAAACGAUGGAUUUUCAGAGUUCGAAUCAUGGCUUAGCAGUAGCAAACCUGACCAGUAUCCCUGAGGACUCGAGUUUGAUCCCUGACCUUGCUCAGUUGGUUAAGGAUCCAUUGUCUCGGUGAGCUGUGGUGUGGGCUGGCAGCUGUGGCUCUGAUUCUACCCCUAGCUUGGGAACUUCCGUAUGUUGCUGUGUUGCUGGUGCAACCCUAAAAAGCAAAAAAAAAAAAAAAAAAAGGGAUUUUCCUGAACAGAAGCCUGUCUGUGCUGCCACCUGGUGGCCACAUUUGGAACUACUCCCUUGGGAACCUGCUCAGGUCGCUCCCUGAGGUCUGGAACUUCCUCCCUUGAGUGCAAGUCAUCCGCACGUGGAGAUGAGGCUGCCUGGAUGGGAAGACUCCUGGAUCAGCCCUUAGAAUGCACUUCCAGCAAAAGGAGUGCGUGGCCUGGGUGGGGGGGGCAGGGAGAG
ensembl:lncRNA